AUUGAACGCUGGCGGCAUGCUUUACACAUGCAAGUCGAACGGUAACAGGCCGCAAGGUGCUGACGAGUGGCGAACGGGUGAGUAAUGCAUCGGAACGUGCCCAGUCGUGGGGGAUAACUGCUCGAAAGAGCAGCUAAUACCGCAUACGAUCUAUGGAUGAAAGCGGGGGACCGUAAGGCCUCGCGCGAUUGGAGCGGCCGAUGUCAGAUUAGGUAGUUGGUGGGGUAAAGGCUCACCAAGCCAACGAUCUGUAGCUGGUCUGAGAGGAGCACCAGCACCACGGGGACUGAGACAAGGCCAAGGAGCCUACGGGAGGCAGCAGUGGGGAAUUUUGGACAAUGGGGGCAACCCUGAUCCAGCAAUGCCGCGUGCAGGAAGAAGGCCUUCGGGUUGUAAACUGCUUUUGUACGGAACGAAACGGUCUGGGUUAAUACCCUGGGCUAAUGACGGUACCGUAAGAAUAAGCACCGGCUAACUACGUGCCAGCCGCCGCCGUAACAC
rnacentral:rRNA from 1 species